UCCCAGCAGGACUGAGCCUCAAUUGCCCACAGCAGGAAGCAGCUCAAUCAUGUACCCUUUAAUUGGCUCUCUCUGGAUCUGGGAUGCACUCCUGCUCCCUGGGAUCACUCCUCAAAAUAAACCAUCCGCUUGCUGUGGCAACCGGAAAGGCAAAGCCCCUGCUUUAAAGGAACGAGAGAUUUAAAUCUAGAGCUAGAGAGCGGCUCUAGACAACGGACAGCUGAAAAGAACAAACACAAUAAUAACAUCAUUUUGAUAGUUAGCAGGGCCUUGGAAAAAUUAAACGUGGUCAAGUGGUAGAGCAUGACGGGUAAAAUUGCAUUUAGUGGUUCACAGGUCUCAACAUACAACAGAACCACUUGGAGGGCUUGAAAACACAGAGGCACCUGGGCCCCACACCAGAUUUCCUUAAUUAGCGGACCUGAGUGGGGGCCUCAGAAGCUACUUGUUAGUCUCAGGUGAUGCCGAUGCUGGUGGUCUGGGGACUACGAAUUGAAAACCACUAGAUUAUUUAGAGCUGAAGCAUGAAAAGGAGCCAAGAGUACAAGGAACACAGAGAAGAGAAUCCAGGCAAAGACAUGAUAAACAGAACAAAGAUUUUAGAAGGAGAAGGAUUCGACUGGCUCAGCCUUAAGUGCAGCGAGGAAUACCUCAUCAUCUGAUGCUCAGCAAAAUUACUCAUGGGGAGAAAUACCAGUUCUACAAAAGCACCAAGGAGAAAAAGAGUGUCAUUGAACUUGUUCCUCUCUUCCUGUGUUUUUUAUAAACCAAGAUUUGGAACGAAUGCCUGGAUGAGCUGUGGGUUAAAAGGUUUCAGCAAUCACAUUCCAGAGGUUGAAAUAUACAAUGAGAGCACUUGAAAAGUUGCAGCCAAGGAGAGAGAGGAGAAUGUGGUUACCUUCAUUGAAACAGAUCUCUCAGCAUUUUAAAUAAUUCAGUAUUUUUUGCUCUACGAACAGUGAUGUUUUUCAACAAUAUCAACUACUAAUUAAGAAGAAUCUUAUAAAACAAAAAUAUCAAAUAUUUUAUUACAAUGAUAAGGUGAAUAUAUUGAUCCUCCUGGAAGAAUCAUUCACUGGCGGUAGAACUGAGUCCAAUUUUAAGUUCUACAGGGGAACUGGUUUCGGUUUAAAUUAAUAAAGAAUUUGAAAUAGACUUUUCCAAGGAUGGAAAGCAUUGCUCUGGAAGAUAAUGAAUCUCAGACAUGGAAGACAUCCUGGCUAGGCUACAUAAUCAUUGGGCAGAGACUUUUGUCAUGAGGAUUCAAACCAUCAACUACAUGGACCCUAGGAGUAUACGAUCCUAUAACAAGUUGAGUGAUCCAUCCAAUUUGCUGGUUUAUUAAGAUGCUUUUCAUUGCUGCGAAGGUUCUAAAUUACUGCUGAGGCAUCAAUGGUAAUUUUCAGUAUACAGAACUCAAACCCUCAGCAUCUCUAAUUCCAUCAACCUCUAUGCACUCAACUGCAUCUAAUAGUAUCAAAAACUUAGCCCAUCUUCAAACUGCUGACUUUUUCAAACUGCUCAAUUCCAAUUCGAUGCCAGUUUUAUUAAAGGAAGAGGUCAUUAAAAAAUAUAUUUAUUUUGGGGCUGGCCCAGUGGUGCAGCGGUUAAGUGCUCAUGUUCCACUUUGGCAGCCCGGGGUUUGCCGGUUUGGAUGCUGGGUGCAGACAUGGCACCGCUUGGCACACCAUGCUGUGGUAGGCAUCCCACAUAUAAAGUAGAGGAUGAUGGGCAUGGAUGUUAGCUCAGGGCCAGUCUUCCUCAGUGAAAAGAGGAAGAUUGGCAGCAGUUAGCUCAGGGCUAAUCUUCCUCAAAAGAAAAAAUAUAUAUAUAUAUAUAUAUUUAUUUCAUAACGAGCUUUUCUCUUCCUGUUUUGGAACACUAAGAGGUAGUAGUGAUCCUUCCAGUAAUUAAUUGCAGGCAGCCCUUCAAGUCAAGUUGCCUGCAUUUGAUUACUGGCUUCACCACCUACUAGCUGUGGUGACAUAGGAAAAUAAAUUUACUUGCCCUGUCUAUGCUUUCGUUUCUUUUUCUGGAAAAUGGGGGUGAUAGUUGUAAUCCACUUAUAGGGUUUUGAGUGAUUUAAAUUGUUAAUGCUUGCAGAGUGCUUAGACCAGUGACUGACAUUUGUUUUCACUUAAUAAGAGAUAACUGUUAUUUUCAGAAUUUAGAUCAGUAUUUUGCAAGCAGAAAUUAGAGGCCUUCUCUAUUCGCUUAGAAUUCCUGCUGAGAAGUUACAAAUCCCCUUUUUGUUUUGCUUGACUUUUCUGUCACAACACUUCUGGGUUUUCUUCUUGUUUUUAUCUUAAAGACAUCCCGAAUAGAAACUUGACUAGCCCCAAUCAUUCUUAGAUCAUUUGCUUAAACUUUAAGAAGCAUUGUAAUUUGUUUUCAUUUAUUUUCAUCAAGCAAUCAAAACGUUCUCUUUACAUUUCUCUGCUCCUAUCUCUCAUAUUCUGUAUCUCUUUCUUCCCCAUCCAAAUCCCCUAUGAUGCUCACCUUUUCUGUCUGCCAGACUCCAGAAGGAAGGAUGGGACAUCUUGUCACCAAUUCUUAGAGAGCAGAAAUCACAGGGUCAGCUAGGUCCUUUCCAAUUAACACUCCAAAUUACAUUUGUGAGGUGUGAGCUUUAGUGGUGUGUUCUCUGCUGUCAGACCGGGUGAAAAAAAUUCCAUCAAAAAUAGCCUGCAGAGAGCCACAUGACCUUGGGUAUCAUUGAAGAUGUAAAUGCUUUUUAAGAUGUUUAGAAAGAGAUGACAAAAUGCUUCUCUGACUAGUGCUGAAACGAGCAAAUCAUAAUUUUAUUU
rnacentral:lncRNA from 1 species